UUCUGAACUGUGUCUUUCAUGUUUGAAAAUGGAUGUUUGCUUUGAAGCUUCACUCGGGCCUUUCUGGACCGACCAAUCUUGUUCUGGAGGUCAGAGUGUCACCCUAUAGGUUCUCUCACUGCAGCGUUCUGCAGGAAACUCCAGAUCCAGUCUGCGGUUGGUUCAACUUUUCGUAGACAGAUGUGGUCCAAUAAUGGAGCAGGUUUGUCCCCAGGAAAGAGCAAUGGACAUGUGAAGGAUAGUGUCAUCAGCUUGGAGAGGAAUGUUGGGAAGACCUGUAGCGUAAACUGGACUGUGAUCUUUGGUGUGACAAGUGUGCAGCAGGGGUUCAGUGCACAGCAGGACCCCAUGACUCCUAAAAGGCUCUUGAACUGAAGAAGCAGUUGAGAAAAUGUCAGUGAAGUAUUAGCACAUAUGCUGAGCUUUAUCAUUGCUAUUGUCCUUGCAGUUUUAGCCGUCUUAGAGUCUUUCUGCCUCAGCUCUGUGAAGGAGGACAGCAGCUGCAUUUCAGCGGCGAGCAGAGCAGAGAAACCCAGCAGCUACGAAACACUGUCUCCCUGCAAGACAGAACACCCCCACCCCACGUCUGCUGUUACUCACUCUGGUGGAGCUCGGCUUUUGUCAUCAAGAAUAAUCAGUCCGACUGGGUCUGUUUGGAUGCUCUUAACUAUCCCUAUUAGUCUACAGCUACAACAGCACAACAGGUCACACACACCCGUCAGCUAAGAACAGGAAACUGAGACCACAAUUCACACAGACUCACUAAAACUGGACAAUAGAAGACUGGAAGGAAAAACGUUGUCUGGUCUGAUGAGUCUCCAUUUCUGCUGUGACAUUUGGAUGGUAGGGUCAGUAUUUGGCAUCAACAGCAUGAAUUGAUGGAUCCAUACUGCCUUGUAUCAACAGUUCCGGCUGUUGGUGGUGGUGUCAUGGUGUGGGGAGAUAUAUUGCCCCUUAGUACCAAAUGAGCAUGGUUCCAAUGACACAGCCUACCUGAGUAUUGUUGCUGAUCAUGUCCAAACUUUUCUGAUGGCUACUUCCAGCAGGAUAAGGCGCCAUGUCAUAAAGCUGGAAUCAUGUCAGACUGGUUUCUUGAACAUGACAAUGAGUUCUCUGGACUCAAACGGCCUCCACAGUCACCAGAUCUCAACCCAAUAGAGCAGGUUUGGGAUGUGGUUGAACAGGGGACUGGCAUCAUGGAUGUGCAGCCAACAAAUCUGCAGCAACUGUGUGAUGCUGUCAUGUCAAUAUGGACCAAACUCU